rnacentral:rRNA from 1 species
GAUGAACGCUGGCGGCGUGCCUAAUACAUGCAAGUCGAGCGAACGGACGAGAAUCUUGCUUCUCUGAUGUUAGCGGCGGACGGGUGAGUAACACGUGGAUAACCUACCUAUAAGACUGGGAUAACUUCGGGAAACCGGAGCUAAUACCGGAUAAUAUUUUGAACCGCAUGGUUCAAAAGUGAAAGACGGUCUUGCUGUCACUUAUAGAUGGAUCCGAGUUGCAUUAGCUAGUUGGUAAGGUAACGGCUUACCAAGGCGACGAUGCAUAGCCGACCUGAGAGGAUGAUCAGUCACACUGGAACUGAGACACGGUCCAGACUCCUACGGGAGGCAGCAGUAGGGAAUCUUCCGCAAUGGGCGAAAGCCUGACGGAGCCACGCCGCGUGAGUGAUGAAGGUCUUCGGAUCGUAAAACUCUUUUAUUAGGGAAGAACAUAUGUGUAAGUAACUGUGCACAUCUUGACGUUACCUAAUCAGAAAGCCACGGCUAACUACGUG